CAAGUCGCGCGACAAGCCAUUUUUAGCUUGCUAUUAAUGGUGGAGGAGCGGCGUAAGGGAGAGUAACGGGUGGAUUAUCUGCCCUCAGGUCCGGGAUAGCUGUGGGAAACUGCAAGUAAUACCGGAUAACAUCUGCGGAUCAAAGGUGUGAUUCCGCCUGGGGAUGAGUCCGCCUCCUAUUAGCUUGUUGGUGGGGUAAUGGCCUACCAAGGCUACGAUGGGUACCGGGUGUGAGAGCAUGGCCCGGCUCACUGGGACUGAAACACUGCCCAGACACCUACGGGUGGCUGCAGUCGAGAAUCUUCGGCAAUGGGCGCAAGCCUGACCGAGCGAUGCCGCGUGCGGGAUGAAGGCCUUCGGGUUGUAAACCGCUGUCAGUAGGGAGGAAAUGUAUGGGGGUCAUCCCCCAUGCUUGACCUAUCUUCAGAGGAAGGACGGGCUAAGUUCGUGCCAGCAGCCGCGGUAAGACGAACCGUCCAAACGUUAAUCGGAAUUACUGGGCUUAAAGGGUGCGUAGGCGGCGCGGUCAGUCGGAUGUGAAAUCGUACAGCUCAACUGUACAACUGCGUCCGAAACUACCGUGCUUGAGGAAGGCAGAGGUGAGCGGAACUCA
rnacentral:rRNA from 1 species